GGAGUUCCCGUCAUGGCUCAGUGGUUAACGAAUCCAAGUAGUAUCCAUGAGGUUGCGGGUUUGAUCCCUGGCCUUGCUCAGUGGGUUAAGGAUCUGGCGUUGCCGUGAGCUGUGGUGUAGGUCGCGGACGCAGCUCGGAUCCCGUGUUGCGGCUGUGGCAUCGGCCAGCGGCUACCGCUCUGAUGCGACCCCUUGCCUGGGAACUUGCAUAUGCGGCAGGUGCGACCCUAGAAAAGGCAAAAAAAAAAAAAAAAAAAAAAAAAAACAAAAAAAAAAAAACCAAAAAAAACAAACCAAAAAACCCCAAGAAGAGAUGUGCUAGUGGUCAAAGAAGAUGUAUAAAUGGCCAGCAAGCACAUGGCCAGAAGUUCAAGGGGAAAUGCAAAUCAAAACCCCAGUGAGAUGCUGCUUGCCGCAGCCAGGACGGCUGUGAUGGAAAGUGCUGAUGGAAAGUGCGGUGACGAUGGUCUUGGGGAGGAUGCGGGAAAAUGGGGACCUCACGAAGCAGGAGAGAAGGACGCCUGGUGCGGAUGCUUCGGAAAACAGCCUGGCAGUUAGUUCCUCUGGUGGUUAAACCAAGAGUUGCCAGAUGACCCAGCCGUUCCCCUCCUAGAAAUGAAACAUGUCCACACAGAAAGUCAUACACGGAUGUUCAUAGCAGCCUAACUUAGAACAGCCCGAAGGUGGUGCAGCAGGUUCAGUCACUGCUGUGGCUUGGGUGGUCGCUGUGGUGCAUGUUCAGUCCCUGGUCCCAGGAUGUCUGUGGCAAAAAGAAAGAGAACCUAAAGUCAACAAACAAAAAAGCCCUCUCACAUGUUCAGCAGCUGGGGAGUGGAUAAACAAACCGCUGUGGUGUGUAUGCUCAGACAAUGAAAUGUCGCAUUGCCAGAGAGAGGACGCGGUACUGACACGCUGCGUGAUGGAUGAGCCUCCUCACCUCUCUGCUAAGGGAGAGAAGCCAGUCACACAGCACCAGGUUAUGCGAUCCCGUUGACGUGAAAUGUCCCGAACAGUCGCAACCACACGCACACACAGUGGAUUAGUGACGGCCUGGGCCUGGGGAUGAGGAGGUGAAAGCUAAUGGGUAGAUUUCUUUUAGGGGCAGCGAACAUGUAGGGUUGGUUGUGGUGGGAGUUCCCGUUGCGGCUCAGUGGCAACGAAUCCGACUGGCAUCCACCAGGACUCGGUUCCCUGCCCUCGCUCAGUGGAUUAAGGAUCUGGCAUUGUGGUGACCUGUGGUGUAGGUUGCAGACGUGGCUCUGAUCUGGCGUGGCUGGCGGAGACCAAGUUGGAUGAAAACUUUAGUCCCUAGGGCUUCCUUUAAUGGCUAUAAAACUGACCCCCCUGUUGCACAGCAGGAAUAAUGCCUGAUGGGGAGUUCCUGUUGUGGCUCAGCUGGUUAAGAACCCGACUAGUCGGAGUUCCUGUGUGGUGCAGUGGAAGCAAUCUGACUAGCAUCCCUGAGGAUGUGGGUUCGAUCCCUGGCCUUGCUCAGUGGGUUGAGGAUCCUGCAUUGCCGUGAGUUGUGUUGUAGGUGACAGACGCAGCUCAGAUCCUCUGUUGCUGUGUCUGUGGUUUGGGCUGGCAGCAGUAGCUUUGAUUUGACCUCUAGCCUGGGAAUUUCCAUAUGCUGCAGGAAAAAAAGAAAAGAAAAAAGAAUAAUGCCUGAUGCUGGCAAGGGUGGGAGCAGACAGAUGUUUUCACAUACGUGGACUUGGCAGGGCUUUUGGACUUGCAUCUUGGCACUGUAUGGCGAACAGUCUUUAAAACACAAUUGGGAGUUCCCGUUGUGGCGCAGUGGUUAACGAAUCCAACUAGGAACCAUGAGGUUGCGGGUUUGAUCCCUGGCCUUGCUCAGUGGGUUAAGGAUCCGGCGUUGCUGUGAGCUGUGGCGUAGGUCACAGAUGCGGCUCGGAUCCCGCGUUGCUGUGGCUCUGGCGUAGGCCAGAGGCUACGGCUCUGAUUCGACCCCUAGCCUGGGAACCUCCACAUGCCACGGGAGCGGCCCAAGAAAUGGCAAAAAGACAAAAAAAUAAAAUAAAAUGAAAAAAUAAAACACAAUUGUCCUCUGACCCAGCAGUUCACCCCCCUAGGAGGUCACCCCAGGAAAAAGUAAGUGAAUGCUCCACAUGGUGUGCAGAAGGACCCGCCUCAAAGUGUUGUUUGUAGUAGUGAAAACUGGGAAAACUCCACGCGUCCAGUGGUAUGGACUAGAUUAAAAAUCAUGCUGCUGCCUGGACGGCAGUGUCCAUGCCAUGAGAGAGCCAGAGUCAGGAAAGAGACUGAGGAGCUGUUCAAGCUGGAGGAGCCUCGAGAGGCCAAGUGACCAGACGUGGCUGAUCCUGGAGGACCCGGGGCUGAACGGAGAGGGGCUCCGAAAGGCCGCAUCGGGACAGCGGGCGCAGGGUGAAGGUGCGUGUCAUCAGUAUGAAGUUCUUGAUGGUGACCGUACUGCAGCUGUGUAAGAGAAUGUCCUUGUCCUUCCCAAAUGUCCCUUGGGGGCAACUUACUGUCCAGUGUCUCAGGAAAAAAUGUACAUGGGAAGAAAACUGUAAAGCAGUGUGAUGAAACCUCAACAACUGAUGAAUUGACGAAGGUUGCGCAGGCGUUCUUGGACGUAUUCUUGUACUCUUCUCCAAGUUUGAAACUAUGUCAAGGUAUGAAGUUAAAGGCAUUUCCCUCCUGGCUCAGCAGGUUAUUUAAGAAUCUGGCACUGGUUCUGCUGUGGUGUGGGUUUGAUUCCUGGCCUAGGAACUUCUGCAUGCUGUGGACAGGCAAAAAACAAAAACAAAAACAAAAACAAAAACAGAGGAGUUCCUGCUGUGGCUCAGUGGGAUCAGCAGCAUCUUGGAAGCACUGGGUCGAAGGAGUGAUCCCUGGCCCAGCACAGUGGCUUAGGGAUGCAGUGUUGCCACAGCUGUGGCUUAGCUCAUGGCUUUGGCUUGGAUCUGAUCCCUGGCCUGGGAACUCCAUGUGCCACCAGGCGGCCAAAAAACAAACAAACAGGAGUUCCCACUGUGGUGCAAUGGGAUCAGCAGCGAAUUUGCAGCUCCAGGAUGUAGGUUUGAUCCCCAGCCCAGCACAGUGGGUUAAAGGAUCCAGCAUUGCCACAGUUGCCCAAUAGGUCACAACCGUGGCUUGGAUCUGGUCUCUGGCCUGGAAACAGUGUAUGCUGUGGGGCGGCCAAAAAUGAAAACAAAUGAACAAACUACCCCCAAAACACAUGAUGUUAAAAAGAAGUGCAGAGGGACUUCUCUCGUGGUGCAGAGGGUUAAGGAUCUGGGGUUGUCACUGAUGUGGCGUGGGUUCAAUCCCUGGCUCAGGCACUUCUGCAUGCUGUGGGUGAGGC
rnacentral:lncRNA from 1 species